rnacentral:lncRNA from 1 species
AUGCAGCGUGACUUCCCUGUUACGCAACACUUUUGCAGCAAGUGGCCAUUUCACAGGAAAUCUACGCCAAGCUCUGUGUUUAAUUCCAGUUUUUCAGGCGUCCAUCGCACGAAGGACCAAGCAUUUCCGGAACCCCAGGCCCCAGCAGAGAGAGGGGCUGGCUGUGGAACGCCUGGGUCUCUCCUGCUCCACGUCACACGUGCGGCAAGCUGCAGCUGCACACCGUUUUUCUUUUCCUCCCAGAACAAAUUACAGGUCUUUUUUUUUUUUCUCAAGUGGCUUAGCUGAGGCCCAUAGAGCAGGUUUCUGUACUGAAUGAGGCUCUUGACUCUGCCAGCCUGGGAGAAAUUAGGUCGGUUUAAUCACCGGUGAUGUCAUAAAAGCCGCUUUCUUAAUGGGAGUGCUGAUUGGAGGGGCGGGGGUAGAGACGGGCGCUGAGGUCACCUCUGAGCAGAACUGCACAGGCUGCUGAGGACGGCUCUGGAGAAAGGCAGAUCCACGGGCAGUGGCUGCCCAAAGGCUUUGAAGUUUCAUUUACAGUGUUUUACAACCAUAUGUGGGGAGUAAAUUGUCCCUGCAGGCUGCUGCACUUUGCCCUCCCCUCCAAGGGGCGGUGGAAGUCACACUAAUAGUAUCUGUCACAAGAUAAGGGCACAGGAUCAGAGAGCAAGGAGGAGACAGAGUUGGCCUGUCCGUGACCUUGUAGUGGGGAGCUCUGUGGCCCUCUGCUAAGUUUCUCAGGGCUCUCUGCUGUCUUGGCGUGUGUCCCUCGGCAGCUCAGCCACCCUCUCAGGGUCCUGCCUCCUCAGUGUCUGAAGUCUUAGCAAGACGAGGAGGAAGGCAUUUUAUGUUUCCAGCAGUGGCACUGAGUUCAUGCAAAAUCAGACUUGAGGUGGAGCAGAUUUGUUGAGGAGGUAUUUGCUUCUGUGGUUUCAAGCAGUCGUUUCCAAACGCGUGGACGUCCACCCUUUGUCGAAAAGCACCUAGGUGAGGCUGAUGAGCCACGGGAUUUUGAAAGCCUUUGCUUGGAGGUUUAAAUGGAGAAGAAACCUUGAUGAGAUGGUGGUCUCAGGAGUGAGUGCCCACAGCUUGCUGCUCGAGGACCCCCACCAAUCAAUAGCAUCACCUGGUGGGAGCGUAUUAGAAAUGCAAAAUACCAGGACUUCUGAAGCAGAAUCCGCAUUUUAUUAAGCUUCCCAGGUGAUGUGUGUGCUGGUCUAUACUCCACAUCAUUCAGACAGCCUCUACGCCGUUGGCUUAGCUGCUGGAGAAGGCCCAGCAGUUGGCCUGAGUGCAGUGGGUCUUCGAACGAGCUUGCUGAUGCACAGCUUAGAGGCCUGGCUGCUGGGAACGAGGCUGCUCUGGGCAUCAGCCUUUGCAGCUUAAAGUUGGAUAUUUGCAUAGAUCAAAACAAAUUAACCAAUCCCCCAGAAGAGGAUUCUUUCCAACAAGGGUCCUGACCCUCUGGCAGUGCUUCAGUCACUUUGAACAAGUGUUUAUUUUUCAAAACGGGGGAAAUGUCCAAAACAGGGAGCAUCGUAGGAUAAAGCGGGUGUGGUCCAGGCUUCUCAAACUUUGUCGUGCCCAUGAGUUAAGUGCAGAUUCUGAUUCAGUAGUUUUAGGAUGGGGCUUUAGAUGCUGCUUCUCUGAAAAGUUGCUGGUAAUACUGCUGCCACGGUCCACAGACCCUGCUUUGAGUGGCAAGGCUCUAGUGGGCUUGCAGGCACAGAACUGGAUUUGAAUCCUAGGUUAGCUAUGUGACCUUGAGGGUGCUUAACCUCUCUGAGCUUAAGUUUCCUCACACCAAAAGCGAUGCGCUACUUAGCUAGUAGGGGUGUUAGGAAGGUCAUUGUAUUAGUCUCCUGUUGUGGCUAUAACAAAUUACCACAAACAUAGUGGCUUAAAACCACACCUAUUUAUUAUCUUACAGUUCUGGAGGUCAGAAGUCCAAAAUGGUCUCACUGGGCUAAAAUCAAGGUGUCAGCAGGACCGUGUUCCUUCUGGAGACCGUAGAGAAGAAUUUGUUUUCUUGUCUCUUUCAACUUCUAUAGGCUGCCUGCAUUCCUUGGCUCGUGGCCCCUUCCUCCAUCUUCAAAGCCAGCCAUGUAACAUUUCCACAUCUCCUUUUCUGCCUCUGCUUCCAUUGUCACAUCUCCUUCUCUGACGCUGGGUCUCCUGCCUCCCUCUUAUAACCACCCUUAUGGUUACAUUGAGCCCACCUGGAUAAUCCAAGAUAAUCUCCCUAUCUCAAGAUCCUUAACUUAAUCAUAUCAUUCAAAGUCCCUUUACCUCAUAAGGUAACGUAGUCACAUGUUCCAGGGAUGAAGAUGUGGACAUCUUUGCAGGGGCAUUUUUCUGCCUACCACAAUCAUAUAAAACAAUGGAAAUGGAGGCAACCGGCCACAUGCCUGGCACAUGAGUGCUUCAUAAGUGUCAACCUGCAUGCUUUCUUGCCCAAUGCAGAGGUUCUAGAACUUUGGCAGUAUCACAAUCCCCCUGUACUACUGUAACAGAGUUUCUGACUCAGUAGGGUUAGGGUGGAGCCUGUGAGUUUGCAUUUCUAACAAGUUACCAGGUGAUACUGAUGCUGCUCCUUCCAGGAUAGUAGUUUGUGAACUACUGGCCUAGUGGGAAGGGGAUGGGCUUCGAAAUCAGGCCAACCAGGGUUUGAAACCUGCUCCAGCAUUUGAGAAAUUACUUAACACUCUGGGACUUCGUUUUCUCAUUUGCAAAGGGUUCUUGUAAGGUUUAAAUGAUGCGGAAUUACCAUAGUGGUGUGUAUGGGGAAGUUUAAUAAACGACUGAGCUAUAUGUUAUGGAUUCUUUCU